UACGAAGGGGGGCUAGCGUUGUUCGGAAUUACUGGGCGUAAAGCGCGCGCAGGCGGUCUUCCAAGUCAGUGGUGAAAGCCUGGAGCUCAACUCCAGAACUGCCAUUGAAACUGUUAGACUUGAGUACGAGAGAGGUGAGUGGAAUUCCCAGUGUAGAGGUGAAAUUCGUAGAUAUUGGGAAGAACACCAGUGGCGAAGGCGGCUCACUGGCUCGUAACUGACGCUCAGGCGCGACAGCGUGGGGAUCGAACGGG
rnacentral:rRNA from 1 species